GGGGAUCACCCCCCCCCCCCACUUUAAAUUUUUUCCUGUAAGGCAUCCAGCCAGCAAAUCUCCUGACGUAGAGCUGAGCUUAGAGAUGGUUGAGGGCGCGGUCCGGGACUUCCUGUCAUUCCUGCCAUUCUGUCCUGUGCCUGCCCCUUCCUGGUACACUGUGUUCCCUUCUUGAUGUCAGGCGAGUGUAUGCUCCUUGGUUUUUGUCUCGUCACAACAAAGAUUUGGAGUGACGGACAUUAAAGCCCCCCUCGGCGUGUCACAGCUCUUGGGUCUUGGACAGACCGUGCUAUAACUCUCAGGUCUCAAACGGACUGUGUUAUAGCUCUUAGACAAAUCAGUGUUACAGCUUAGUGUUACAGCUGUAUUUUAUUUAGAAGAUAACAGGAAAAUCCAUCUUCAAGGUGUGAGGGCGCGUCGAUCCAAAGACAAGAAGAGAAGAGCACCCCAGUACCCCAGCA